ACGGUACAACGAGUCGCAAGACUGCGAGGUUUAGCAAAUCUCUUAAAGCCGUUCUCAGUUCGGAUUGUAGGCUGCAACUCGCCUACAUGAAGUCGGAAUCGCUAGUAAUCGCGGAUCAGCAUGCCGCGGUGAAUACGUUCCCGGGCCUUGUACACACCGCCCGUCACACCAUGAGAGUUUGUAACACCCAAAGCCGGUGGGGUAACCUUUUGGAGCCAGCCGUCUAAGGUGGGACAGAUGAUUGGGGUGAAGUCGUAACAAGGUACC
rnacentral:rRNA from 1 species